rnacentral:rRNA from 1 species
CCGAGCUGGCCAGUCUAACAUGCAAGUCGAGCGGUAGAGAGAAGCUUGCUUCUCUUGAGAGCGGCGGACGGGUGAGUAAUGCCUAGGAAUCUGCCUGGUAGUGGGGGAUAACGUUCGGAAACGGACGCUAAUACCGCAUACGUCCUACGGGAGAAAGCAGGGGACCUUCGGGCCUUGCGCUAUCAGAUGAGCCUAGGUCGGAUUAGCUAGUUGGUGAGGUAAUGGCUCACCAAGGCGACGAUCCGUAACUGGUCUGAGAGGAUGAUCAGUCACACUGGAACUGAGACACGGUCCAGACUCCUACGGGAGGCAGCAGUGGGGAAUAUUGGACAAUGGGCGAAAGCCUGAUCCAGCCAUGCCGCGUGUGUGAAGAAGGUCUUCGGAUUGUAAAGCACUUUAAGUUGGGAGGAAGGGUUGUAGAUUAAUACUCUGCAAUUUUGACGUUACCGACAGAAUAAGCACCGGCUAACUCUGUGCCAGCAGCCGCGGUAAUACAGAGGGUGCAAGCGUUAAUCGGAAUUACUGGGCGUAAAGCGCGCGUAGGUGGUUUGUUAAGUUGGAUGUGAAAUCCCCGGGCUCAACCUGGGAACUGCAUUCAAAACUGACUGACUAGAGUAUGGUAGAGGGUGGUGGAAUUUCCUGUGUAGCGGUGAAAUGCGUAGAUAUAGGAAGGAACACCAGUGGCGAAGGCGACCACCUGGACUAAUACUGACACUGAGGUGCGAAAGCGUGGGGAGCAAACAGGAUUAGAUACCCUG